rnacentral:rRNA from 1 species
GACGAACGCUGGCGGCGUGCUUAACACAUGCAAGUCGAACGAUGAACCCGGAGCUUGCUCCGGUGGAUUAGUGGCGAACGGGUGAGUAACAUGUGAGUAACCUGCCCUUGACUCUGGGAUAACGGCGGGAAACUGUAGCUAAUACCGGAUACGACCCUCGGCGGAAUCGCCAGGGGGUGGAAAGGAUUUCGGUCCAGGAUGGACUCGCGGCCUAGCAGCUAGUUGGUGAGGUGACGGCUCACCAAGGCGACGACGGGUAGCCGGCCUGAGUGGGUGACCGGCCACACUGGGACUGAGACACGGCCCAGACUCCUACGGGAGGCAGCAGUGGGGAAUAUUGCACAAUGGGCGCAAGCCUGAUGCAGCAACGCCGCGUGAGGGAUGACGGCCUUCGGGUUGUAAACCUCUUUUAGUAGGGAAGAUGCGAAAGUGACGGUACCUGCAGAAAAAGCACCGGCUAACUACGUGCCAGCCGCCGCAGUAA